CCGCACUAUUUUGUGUUUGGGAGGUUACAGCUCUGCCUCUAGAUUCCCCAGCUCAGACUUUUGACAUUGCAAGCAGCUAACAAUACUCACAUAUCAUGCUUUAUAAUAGCACUUGUAGGUGCCAUCCUACUGUCCUGUGUGGAACAUUGGAAUUAGUGGCUAGAGUAUCUUAAAAGAGUUCCAUUAGCAAACAAAGUGAGUGUAUAAGUCAGAGUAAUGUCUUGAAACCCCAGUUUACUCUCCAUAUCAUUUACAUAUGACAGGAGAGCAAUGCAGCAACCACCUUAAGAUUACAAAACAAAGGACAAACACAGCACCCUAAUGAAUUGUGUAAUGCCAAAUGCCAGUAUUUCUUAAGAUUUAAGCCUCACUCAAUUUCUUCACAUGUAAUAGAGUGAAGAUUAGUUUGAGGCAAUCAUUGCACAAGCCUAGACAACAUGAUUGGGGUAUAGUUUUGCCAAAGUCCUUCCCUAUUUAUUACAAAAGGUCUUCAUUUGUAUAACAUCUACCUCAAUUUGAAACAAAUUUUUAUGCAUGGAAAGACAGGCCUAAGCACUGUGCCAAAUUGUCAUAAUGAGGAAAACAUGUAUGUGGCUGAGGCCAUAGGAAGAUUAUUAUGUCAUGACAAUAGAGCUCUCAUGGAUGGAAUGAGUGUUCUUAUAAGAAAAGGCCAGCUUGCUCUCCUUCUGCUGCAUGAGGAUAUAAGAAAUCAACAAUGUGAAACAUGGAAGAGAGGCUCACAAGAACCCAACUACGUUGGCACCCUGAUCUCAGCCUUCAGCUAA
rnacentral:lncRNA from 1 species